rnacentral:rRNA from 1 species
CAGCUGUAAACGAUGCAGGCUAGGUGUUUGGACGGCCACGUGCCGUUCUAGUGCCGCAGGGAAGCUGUUAAGCCUGCCGCCUGGGGAGUACGAUCGCAAGAUUGAAACUUAAAGGAAUUGGCGGGGGGAGCACCACAAGGGGGUGAAGCUUGCGGUUUAAUUGGAGUCAACGCCGGAAAUCUCACCGGGAGCGACAGCAGUGUGAAGGCCAGAUUAAAGGUCUUGCCAGACGAGCUGAGAGGAGGUGCAUGGCGUCAGUGACU